GGUGUACUUCUCAGAACUUGAUGAAAAUUUAGAAUACACAAAAACUGUGCUCAACUACCUCCAGAGCUCAGGGAAGCAGAUUGCCAAGGUACCAGGGAAUGUGGAUGCUGCUGUUCAGCUCACAGCUGCCUCUGGCACAACACCUGUGAGGAAGGUGACGCCCGCGUGGGUGCGGCAGGUGCUGCGGAAGUGUGCACACCUGGGCUGUGCUGAAGAAAAGCUUCACCUUCUAGAAUUUGUGCUUUCUGACCAAGCCUACAGUGAGCUGCUUGGGCUGGAGCUGCUCCCUUUACAAAAUGGCAAUUUUGUCCCCUUCUCCUCAUCUGUAUCAGACCAAGAUGUCAUUUAUAUUACCUCAGCAGAAUAUCCAAGGUCCCUUUUCCCAAGUCUUGAAGGAAGAUUUAUUUUGGAUAACUUGAAACCUCACCUUGUGGCUGCUUUAAAGGAAGCUGCCCAAACCCGAGGUAUUAUAGUUUAGUAUUCUUUUAAAUAAACUUCUAUAUAAAAAUACAA
rnacentral:sRNA from 1 species